UACGUAGGGGGCAAGCGUUGUCCGGAAUCAUUGGGCGUAAAGAGCGUGUAGGCGGUCCGGUAAGUCGGCUGUGAAAGUCCAGGGCUCAACCCUGGGAUGCCGGUCGAUACUGUCGGGCUAGAGUGCGGAAGAGGCGAGUGGAAUUCCUGGUGUAGCGGUGAAAUGCGCAGAUAUCAGGAGGAACACCUAUUGCGAAGGCAGCUCGCUGGGACGUAACUGACGCUGAGACGCGAAAGCGUGGGGAGCAAACAGG
rnacentral:rRNA from 1 species